CGAGGACCUUGGAUUUAUUAAGUAAAAUGGCAACGGUUAUACAGAGUCAUAAAGCGUGAGAGAUCGAAUAUGUCUAAGUCCCUAAUCAGCGCUGAUGGUUCGUCCAGAGCUUCGCCUCCGUGGAAGGUCUGCUUCAGAAGAAGAUCAAGAGUCCCUGUGUGAUACAGUUUUAUGCUGUAUCCUCCUCUCGAUGAGGUGUGUGCGUUUGAGGUGUGUGUGGUUCUGUGUGUUUUUGCUUGGCCUUGGCUCCCAGGCCCUGGUGUGUAUCCCUUGUGUUCUUCCUAACGGGGGAGAGCUUCGAAAUGUCUCCUGUGUGAUAAAUUAAAACGGGGAGUGCCCCCCCGAAAUGUCUCCUGUGUGAUAAUUGAAUGUGGCUCUCCCGUUCUUGAGGAUGACUGGUGCAUUGUCUGAGUGUCUACCAUUUGCCUGCUUGGGAAAUGGGGCCUUGGCUCUGGCCUUGACCUGACUAUAUUAUCAUGUUUGUGUUAUGUGUUCGUUGGGUUAGAGCAAGAGUUGACUAUAUUGUAAUGUGUCUGCCAUGUGAUGUGCUCAUCAGGCUAGGGUAGGAGUUAGCUAUAUUUGUAAUGUACAUGUGAUGUACUCAGCAGGUUAUUUUUCCCAACAUACCCCCCUCAAGUCGUCGCAAGACGACUUUUACUCAUUAGGGGUACGAGGGAUAGGACUCCAGCGCGGGACUACCAUUAGAAACAACAGAAGGAAGGCAAAAUGAUCAUAAAAACAAACAACCAUGAGCAUGGGACUAAAACAACUCGCUGGACCGGGUGUAUGGGGAACCACGUGGGAGAAACGCCACCCAUGCUUCAGACAUGGGUAUGCCAUACACACCCCACCUAGGGGGUGGCAUCCACCCCGGCCUUACAUCGCGAGCAGACAAUACCAACAAUACUGGCAGCAGAUGAUACACAACAAAACCAACACCAAACCAUAACAACAACAACAAAAUGCAACAACAAAACUAACAGUAAACAAUAACGAUAUAAACAAAAUGCAACAAUCACACAAACACUACACAAUAACAAUCACAGGAAAGAAAUGCAACCAUGAAACGUGUCCCUAAAUAAUAAUAAUAAUAUCAGAAAGAUAUGAGGUACACAACGAAUGGCAAUCCCCCUCAACCCAUCCCUAGAUGACCACACACUAAGGAUGUGAGGAGGAGUUAACUGGUCGUGUAACAAUAAGCAAUCACACGCAUGGGGUAUCCAGGGUAGGCCCAGGGCACGGGAACAACUGAAACCACGGAAUAGUCCUGAGCGUCAUCACGGGCAG
ensembl:lncRNA